UUUCCGUAGGUGAACCUGUGGAAGGAUCAUUCAUAAUAAGUGUUUUAGGGCUCUUUUUUAAAUCCAUAUCCACCUUGUGUUCCAUGGCAGUGGUGAUUUUUCUCUCUAGUGGAUCUGGUCCAAACAUCAACUAUAUCUUAACUCUUUGUCUGAAGAAUAUUAUGAAUAAAACAAUUCAAGAUACCACUUUCAACAACGGAUCUCUUGGCUCUC
rnacentral:misc_RNA from 1 species